rnacentral:lncRNA from 1 species
GAGUGAGUGCACCAAAUAGACCGUUCGUAUAGACAUUGACUCGGCUUGGAUCGAUAACAAAAACAUAGAAAGCCUUAGGAUAGGAAGGAACUGCUAUUGUGUUUUAAAAAGGACUCAACCUAGAUCAUUUUGGAUGUGCUUUCUAGGCUUUCUUCGGAUCCCUGAAUUGAUGCUUAUUAGAUCCAGAACCCUCCGUAAGAAGUUCC